rnacentral:rRNA from 1 species
GACGAACGCUGGCGGCGCGCCUAAUACAUGCAAGUCGAGCGGAUCUUCAUUAGCUUGCUUUUGAAGAUCAGCGGCGGACGGGUGAGUAUCACGUGGGCAACCUGCCUGUAAGACUGGGAUAACUUCGGGAAACCGGAGCUAAUACCGGAUAAUCCUUUUCCUCUCAUGAGGAAAAGCUGAAAGACGGUUUCGGCUGUCACUUACAGAUGGGCCCGCGGCGCAUUAGCUAGUUGGUGAGGUAACGGCUCACCAAGGCGACGAUGCGUAGCCGACCUGAGAGGGUGAUCGGCCACACUGGGACGGAGACACGGCCCAGACUCCUACGGGAGGCAGCAGUAGGGAAUCUUCCGCAAUGGACGAAAGUCUGACGGAGCAACGCCGCGUGAGCGAUGAAGGCCUUCGGGUCGUAAAGCUCUGUUGUCAGGGAAGAACAAGUACCGGAGUAACUGCCGGUACCUUGACGGUACCUGACCAGAAAGCCACGGCUAACUACGUGCCAGCCGCCGCGGUAA